rnacentral:rRNA from 1 species
CACGUAGGGGGCGAGCGUUGUCCGGAUUUAUUGGGCGUAAAGAGCUCGUAGGCGGCUCAGUAAGUCGGGUGUGAAAUCCCACGGCUCAACCGUGGAAGUGCACUCGAAACUGGAUGGCUAGAGUCCUGGAGAGGAAGGUGGAAUGCUUGGUGUAGAGGUGAAAUUCGUAGAUAUCAAGCGGAACACCGGUGGCGAAGGCGGCCUUCUGGACAGUGACUGACGCUGAGACGCGAAAGCGUGGGGAGCAAACAGG